rnacentral:tRNA from 1 species
GCCAGUAUGGUGGAUAUGACACUCGAUUUGUAAUCGAGUAGGCUUGGGUUCGAAUCCCGAAUAAGGUG